rnacentral:rRNA from 1 species
GUGAACGCUGGCGGUAGGCCUAACACAUGCAAGUCGCACGGCAGCACAGUAAGAGCUUGCCCUUACGGGUGGCGAGUGGCGGACGGGUGAGGAAUACAUCGGAAUCUACUUUUUCGUGGGGGAUAACGUAGGGAAACUUACGCUAAUACCGCAUACGACCUACGGGUGAAAGCCGGGGAUCUUCGGACCUUGUGCGAUUGAAUGAGCCGAUGUCGGAUUAGCUAGUUGGCGGGGUAAAGGCCCACCAAGGCGACGAUGCGUAGCUGGUCUGAGAGGAUGAUCAGCCACACUGGAACUGAGACACGGUCCAGACUCCUACGGGAGGCAGCAGUGGGGAAUAUUGGACAAUGGGCGCAAGCCUGAUCCAGCCAUACCGCGUGGGUGAAGAAGGCCUUCGGGUUGUAAAGCCCUUUUGUUGGGAAAGAAAAGCAGCAGGUUAAUACCCCGCUGUUCUGACGGUACCCAAAGAAUAAGCACCGGCUAACUUCGUG